UUACCCAUAUUUGGUGUUAUUUGCCAUAUAAAACUUAUUUAGACAUGCAAAGAGUGGAUGCUGAGUUGCCAUAUCCUUCAUACUGAUAUUAAUUAUAUUAUUACAUGAUUUCUUGUUUGACUAUUAAUCAAGUUAUGGCAAGAGUGAAAUGUGUAACCUUAUGUGCGCUUAUGAGAUAUUAAAGAAUCCUGUUCUACCCUGUAUUUCUUUUCCUCAAGAUUAAUGUCUACAUAUUAUGUGUGUGUAUCCAACCGUAAUGAUAAGACACUCGCCAGUGCUUAAAGCCUUGAAUUUUAGAUAAGUUCUCUGUGUAUGUGUGUUAGUAUCUGUCUGUACAGGGAGAAGCUCAGACAGUCCCAGGACAAACGAUCAACUGCCAGUGUCCAGCGUAUCAGAUAUAUGUCUUUGGAGAGUUUAUCUAGGUUUUGGAACCAAUCAGAAUUUUGUUGACUUAUGUAUUGACGCAAUUAGUAUCCUCUGUCAGGGUAUAACUGUGGUUGAUUUUGAGUUGUACGGGGGGCGGCCUACGAACUCCGUCGAGAGUAUUGAAGCUGACUUCUGCUGAUGAAAUUGCAAACUAUUUUCUUCAAGUAAAAUUAUUAUUAUUAAUUGAACUCA